rfam:Candida arabinofermentans NRRL YB-2248 unplaced genomic scaffold CANARscaffold_4, whole genome shotgun sequence.
GCGGGUUUAGCUCAGUUGGGAGAGCGUAAGACUGAAGUUCUUAAGGUCCUGAGUUCGAUCCUCAGAAGCCGCA